rnacentral:rRNA from 1 species
UACGUAGGUGGCAAGCGUUGUCCGGAUUUAUUGGGUUUAAAGGGUGCGUAGGCGGUUUUGUAAGUCAGUGGUGAAAUACUCCAGCUUAACUGGAGGGGUGCCAAUGAUACUGCAGAACUUGAGUACAGAUGAGGUAGGCGGAAUUGACGGUGUAGCGGUGAAAUGCAUAGAUAUCGUCAAGAACACCGAUAGCGAAGGCAGGUCUCUGGGCCACUACUGACGCUGAGAAGCGAAAGCAUGGGGAGCGAACAGG